ACUCAAAUAGUUUAAUAAAAAUAUUAGUUUGUGGAGCUAAAGAUGCAAUAAUGUUUUGAGUA
rnacentral:tRNA from 2 species